AAGGAGCCAACUGUGGCUGCGGCUCCCCCCGCGCCUCUGGCUCCCGGAGCGGGCUGCAGCGGCCGACAUAGAACAAGGAAGACAAUUCUCUACUAACCGUGGUUUUGACUGGCACGUACAGCACUUGCUUCCCUCCUCCAGCACCACCACUGACCUCGUCCGAGUUGCCGAGCUGGAAGCCUUUCGAUUUGACCCAGAAUUUGAAUUUGGCAUUAUCCGUGGAGCUCGACUCGGAGCCGUUGAGGAGCUGGACGAUCCGGUCGUAUUUUUUACGGGUCACCGUCUUGGUUUUUCCUGAGUCCCCGAGGCGAAACGGGGCUGGUGGAGGCUCCUCUUAUCCUUCCACGGUACGUGAUCAGUCUCUUUAAUAAUUGUGCGAGGCAGGACUAUCCCACUGGCUCCAGCAGCGUCUUACCCAGAGAGGGUUCGGGUGGAUAAAUAAUUAAAAUCCUAUCCCUCGGCUUAGCGAAGAGAAAAGAAAAUAUCGACUCGGAUCCUUCUUCUUUUCCAUACAUCAGCUGCACACGGAUUCACCCUGGGUAGCGCAGGUGAAAGGGGGGGAAGAAGAAAAAAAAAAAAAAAAAAAAAGAAGAAGAAGAAGGAAAAAAAGCCCACCCUUCCUCCGCCCCGGCUGCCUUGUCGAAAGGCUUUCUGUCUCUGUCCUGGGCUCUGCCGCUCCCCAAAGCAGCCUCGCCGCGCAGGAUGGAGGAAGCACUGAAGGGCAAACUGGUCUCUUUGCUCCCCCUUUAUUCCAGGGCUGGGCGGCUUUGCUUUAGAUAUCCCCGCUCCGGGCAUGAAGGUACUGGAAAGAAAGAAAGUUCUUACCUGCUAUUUGCUAAACCUAAUACAUCCCAUCCGCGUUUUGAAUACAUAUUUUUUAAUUAAAAAAAAAAAUAAUAA